AUUCCUAAUUUACCCGUUGUGCUGAGAGGACAUAGAAAUAUCGCUUACAACUUGUGAACUACCACUUUGUUAUACUUUGAAACACUCUUAUUUAUUUUAGAUAAUCGAAGUUUGAACCUAAAUUGAAACCGCUUAAAAAUUAAAAGCAACUGAAAUAAAUGUGUGGAAUAUUCAAAGAAAUGUGUAAAAAUUAAAAGUUCUGCUUUGGUAACAAAUGAAAAUUUUACGUUAUUGAUUAAUAAUAAUACCGACCAGAAUAUCCGCUGGGGCAUUUUUGUCAACAGCAGCUGCUGUUAUUGCUGGAUUGACAGCUUUUGUUUUCGCAUUAACUACAAGCAGUAAUUUGCAGCAAAAUACUGCAAUUAACAGGCAAUUGCAGCACGACAGCCUUCUUUUGUCUUCAGCCCCCAUGGCACACUAAACUAGUUUGUUCCGUCCGUCUCGGUCGCCUAUCCUAUCGGAUCCGAGGUUCUCGAGUUCGUCUCCGGAUUUGGUGCGACUGCGGAACGCCCUCCACGCUUUCCAGCAGCGGUGAUUGCCACACAGGCAGAAAAAUAUGACCGAUUCUAGGGUUUUUAUAAGUAUACGAAGCCCAUUACUGUUUUUAAAUAUGAGAAGGAAAUAAUAAUAAUACAAAUGGCUAACCAGUUUGUAGAUUUCGACUGCGUCUAUUUUAGAGAUGAAUACCCCAUAUCCAAAUAUCCUAUGUUAGAUGACGAAAACCCUUUGAAAUGCGAUUCCCAUCUCUGAACAGAUUUGAAU